CCUCACUGACACGCGGCGGACUUCCAGCCAGUGCUGCGGGGGAUCACAGAGGCGGGCAGACUGGGCAAAUGGGGCUGGGCACACAAAAAGCAGCAGCCAAAGAGUCAGCUUCCCUGCUUACAGGGGACCCCCGGCCACUGCCGCCAUCGAAAAGGGCCUGGGACUCCGGGACACAGAUGCUCCCUGACUUACAGGGCAGCCCCCAUCCCUACGGCCGAGGGAGGCUCCUUCUCUCCCAGUCCGGGGCACCUCGACCCACACCCCGCUAGCGGGGCGGUCACCCCACACAGGCUGCCAGCAGAGCACAAACGCUCACGCACCCAGACCCUGAUUACAGGCGGGUGGACAACACCCCUGGAGCCACAGAGCUCGGUUUCCCCCCCAGCGGCAGGAGCAACUCUCAGCAGCCAGGCAGCGGGGCGGCACGGCCAAAGGCCGCAGUCGGGAUCCCAGCCCCGAUUCCAGGGAGGGCGCAAGCCCCACCCCGCAUCUCACGGCCCCGCGCCUCUGAAAGGCCGGGGCCACAUUCCCACCUGAGUACAGGGGGUCUCUCAGAACGCAGCUCACCAAGCACACACGGGGGGCACACACAGCCCUGCCUACAGGACGGUACCCCCACACCUCACCCUCUUCAAGAAGCCCCGCGGAGCACGAGGCUCCCGCCAACGCCUGAGUUACAGGCUGGCCCGCCCGGCAGCACCAGAACAUCACCAACGUCUCGUCUUUGGAAGCCCAGGGAGCUACCUCGACCCACCGAGCGGGGAGGUCACCCCACACACAAACAGCACCUCAACCUGCACCCUCUGACGGGACAGGGAGGGGUCACUCCCACCAGCUGGAUGGCUAAAGCAGCCGGCUGCAACGCUGCAGCCUCCCCACACCUGAUUACAGGGCGGGCGGGCUGCUCAGGGACAGAGGGCUCCGAAGCUUGGGACACACACCCCGAGUACGGGGCUGUCACCGCCGCCAGCAGGACAGGCGGCCACGCAAGGACAGGCCCAAGCCCUGGCUACAGGGAGGCCUUGGCCACAGAACUACCGUGUGGCUCUGAUCUGCACUAAGGAAAAUAGUAGGAAGACAGGACACUCGCUGCGCUCGCAGGACUAAGAGGGAACACCCCUUUUGCGGCAUGCACCAAAGUCCUCCAUUCCCCCCUGGGAAGUCAAAGCUAAGCUGCAGCCAUCUUUGUGGAGGCCUAAAGGGAAAGCACAGCCGCUCAACCACUCCACAAACACAAACAAGGAAAGGAAGGGGAACACGCACACACAGGCACGACUUUCCAGAAGGGAAGGACAACGCAGCACAGCCAACACCUGGGAAUAAACCCACAACCACGGGCAACAGACAAGAGCCUGUGACCUGUCCCUAGGCUGCACGGAGGCCACAGACCUCAACGUGCCAAGGGGCUUCUCAGUAAAGCCAACGGCCAAAUGCCGUGACGCACACCCCGAGUACGGGGCCGUCGCAUUGACAAGCCACCAUCAGGCAACGAUGCCGAGGGGCCGGGGGAGGAAGAGGGGCAGGGAAACGGCACUACCCUGCUUACAGGGUGGCCUCGGGGUCCGGCGAGCUCCAUUUCCCACUCAGGUGCGGAGAGGUGGCUCUCGCCCUCCGUUACAGGGGGCCACGCUCCCCAGGCAGCCCAAGGAGCAGCAAGGCAAAAGGCCAACUACAGCAAAGACCCGAGCCCCGCUUACGGGGAGGUCGCCCAGCACAACGCCAGCCUGGUCACCAAAGGCGCCGGCAGCUCUCAACUCAAACGUGACUGUGCCCCUGCUAACGGGACAGGUGCUUUGCCCAGGGAGCCUCUCUCCUUCCCCCCCGCAUCUGCACGCUUCCGCUUCCUCUUCUUGCUUGCUCCUGCCUCCC
ensembl:lncRNA